CAAGUCGAACGGGGUGAGGGGGCAACUCUUCAUUCAGUGGCGAACGGGUGAGUAAUGCAUCGGAACGUGUCCCGUAGUGGGGGAUAACGCCGCGAAAGCGGCGCUAAUACCGCAUACGCUCUGUGGAGGAAAGCAGGGGACCUGAGAGGGCCUUGUGCUAGGGGGGCGGCCGAUGUCCGAUUAGCUAGUCGGUGGGGUAAUGGCUUACCAAGGCGACGAUCGGUAGCUGGUCUGAGAGGAUGAUCAGCCACACUGGGAUUGAGACACGGCCCAGACUCCUACGGGAGGCAGCAGUGGGGAAUUUUGGACAAUGGGGGCAACCCUGAUCCAGCCAUGCCGCGUGCGGGAAGAAGGCCUUCGGGUUGUAAACCGCUUUUAGCCGGGAAGAAAAGGCGCGGGCGAAUACCCCGUGUUUUUGACGGUACCGGCGGAAUAAGCACCGGCUAACUACGUGCCAGCAGCCGCGGUAAUACGUAGGGUGCGAGCGUUAAUCGGAAUUACUGGGCGUAAAGCGUGCGCAGGCGGUUCGUUGUGUCGGCGGUGAAAGCCCCGGGCUUAACCUGGGAACGGCCGUUGAAACUGGCGAACUGGAGUGUGGCAGAGGGGGGUGGAAUUCCGCGUGUAGCAGUGAAAUGCGUAGAGAUGCGGAGGAACACCGAUGGCGAAGGCAGCCCCCUGGGCUAACACUGACGCUCAGGCACGAAAGCGUGGGGAGCAAACAGGAUUAGAUACCCUGGUAGUCCACGCCCUAAACGAUGUCGACUGGGUGUUGGGGAAGCGAUUUCCCAGUACCGUAGCUGACGCGUGAAGUCGACCGCCUGGGGAGUACGGCCCCCAAGGUUAAAACUCAAAGGAAUUGACGGGGAACCCCCACAAGCGGU
rnacentral:rRNA from 1 species